UACGUAGGGAGCAAGCGUUGUUCGGAUUUACUGGGCGUAAAGGGCGCGUAGGCGGCGCGGUAAGUCACUUGUGAAAUCUCUGAGCUUAACUCAGAACGGCCAAGUGAUACUGCAGUGCUAGAGUGCAGAAAGGGCAAUCGGAAUUCUUGGUGUAGCGGUGAAAUACGUAGAUAUCAAGAGGAACACCUGAGGCGAAGGCGGGUUGCUAGGCUGACACUGACGCUGAGGCGCGAAAGCCAGGGGAGCAAACGGG
rnacentral:rRNA from 1 species